GUCUUCGGAUGCUGACGAGUGGCGAACGGGUGAGUAAUACAUCGGAACGUGCCUAGUAGUGGGGGAUAACUACUCGAAAGAGUAGCUAAUACCGCAUGAGAUCUACGGAUGAAAGCAGGGGACCUUCGGGCCUUGUGCUACUAGAGCGGCUGAUGGCAGAUUAGGUAGUUGGUGGGGUAAAAGCUUACCAAGCCUGCGAUCUGUAGCUGGUCUGAGAGGACGACCAGCCACACUGGGACUGAGACACGGCCCAGACUCCUACGGGAGGCAGCAGUGGGGAAUUUUGGACAAUGGGCGAAAGCCUGAUCCAGCAAUGCCGCGUGCAGGAUGAAGGCCCUCGGGUUGUAAACUGCUUUUGUACGGAACGAAAAGCCUGGGGCUAAUAUCCCCGGGUCAUGACGGUACCGUAAGAAUAAGCACCGGCUAACUACGUGCCAGCAGCCGCGGUAAUACGUAGGGUGCAAGCGUUAAUCGGAAUUACUGGGCGUAAAGCGUGCGCAGGCGGUUUUGUAAGACAGUGGUGAAAUCCCCGGGCUCAACCUGGGAACUGCCAUUGUGACUGCAAGGCUAGAGUGCGGCAGAGGGGGAUGGAAUUCCGCGUGUAGCAGUGAAAUGCGUAGAUAUGCGGAGGAACACCGAUGGCGAAGGCAAUCCCCUGGGCCUGCACUGACGCUCAUGCACGAA
rnacentral:rRNA from 1 species